AGAGUGAUAUAGAGAAGGUUAGCAUGGCCCCUCUGCAAAGGAUGAUGUGCAGAUGUGUGAAGCAUUGCAUACUUCU
rnacentral:snRNA from 1 species